UACGGAGGGGGCUAGCGUUGUUCGGAAUUACUGGGCGUAAAGCGCACGUAGGCGGAUCAGUCAGUCAGGGGUGAAAUCCCGGGGCUCAACCCCGGAACUGCCUUUGAUACUGCUGGUCUGGAGGUCGAGAGAGGUGAGUGGAAUUCCGAGUGUAGAGGUGAAAUUCGUAGAUAUUCGGAGGAACACCAGUGGCGAAGGCGGCUCACUGGCUCGAUACUGACGCUGAGGCACGAGAGCAUGGGUAGCGAACAGG
rnacentral:rRNA from 1 species